CGAACCUGCCUCAUACAGAGGGAUAAUCAUGUGAAAACGUGACUAAUACCGCAUGUCAUUUGUUGAAGGCAUCUUCGACAAAGAAAAGGAAGCAAUCCGGUAUGAGAUGGGCCCGCAUCUGAUUAGCUAGUUGGUGAGAUAACAGCCCACCAAGGCGACGAUCAGUAGCCGACCUGAGAGGGUGAUCGGCCACAUUGGGACUGAGACACGGCCCAA
rnacentral:rRNA from 1 species